AUUGAACGCUGGCGGCAGGCCUAACACAUGCAAGUCGAACGGUAACAGGAAGAAGCUUGCUUCUUUGCUGACGAGUGGCGGGCGGGUGGGUAAUGUCUGGGAAACUGCCUGAUGGAGGGGGAUAACUACUGGAAACGGUAGCUAAUACCGCAUAACGUCGCAACACCAAAGAGGGUGACCUUCGGGCCUCUUGCCUUCCGGUGUUCCCAGAUGGGGUUAGCUAGUAGGUGGGGUAACGGAUCACCGAGGCGAGGAUCCGUAGUGUGUCUGAGAGGAUGACCAGCCACACUGGAACUGAGACACGGUCCAGACUACUACGGGAGGCAGCAGUGGGGAAUAUUGCACAAUGGGCGCAAGCCUGAUGCAGCCAUGCCGCGUGUAUGAAGAAGGCCUUCGGGUUGUAAAGUACUUUUAGCUGGGAGGAAGGGAGUAAAGUGAAUACGUUUGCUCAUUGACGUUACCCGAAGAAGAAGCACCGGCUAACUCCGUG
rnacentral:rRNA from 1 species